rnacentral:rRNA from 1 species
CCCUUAGAGUUUGAUCCUGGCUCAGGACGAACGCUGGCGGCGUGCUUAACACAUGCAAGUCGAGCGGUAAGGCUCCUUCGGGAGUACACGAGCGGCGAACGGGUGAGUAACACGUGAGCAACCUGCCCUUCUCAUCGGAAUAAGCGUGGGAAACCGCGUCUAAUGCCGAAUACGACUUCGGAAGGCAUCUUCUGAAGUGGAAAGCUCCGGCGGAGAAGGAUGGGCUCGCGGCCUAUCAGCUAGUUGGUGGGGUAAUGGCCCACCAAGGCGACGACGGGUAGCCGGCCUGAGAGGGUGACCGGCCACACUGGGACUGAGACACGGCCCAGACUCCUACGGGAGGCAGCAGUGGGGAAUAUUGGACAAUGGGCGAAAGCCUGAUCCAGCAACGCCGCGUGAGGGAUGACGGCCUUCGGGUUGUAAACCUCUUUCAGCAGGGACGAAGCGAAAGUGACGGUACCUGCAGAAGAAGGACCGGCCAACUACGUGCCAGCAGCCGCGGUAAUACGUAGGGUCCGAGCGUUGUCCGGAAUUAUUGGGCGUAAAGGGCUC